rnacentral:lncRNA from 1 species
AAAAUAGCAUGGCUGUAACAAUAGGUAAACAUCCCAUAGUAACAUUAUAAAACGAUGCAGUAUUUGAAGAAAAACAAUAGAGCAUUUGCAAUAUAGGAUCAACAUGUUCAAGUGACAAGCAUGACUUGCCUUGCUCUGCUGCUGGAGGAACCUCGGCGACUAUCUCGAAGUACACCGGAGCGUCGGAAGAACUGGAAUCUAAGCGACAUACAAAGCAAACAAUACAAAUAGGCUAUAAGACUACUGAAACAUAGAACAAAACCAUUUUUAAUGGAUUCUACAAAUUUUUCUUGAUUUACUGAGACUUGAAUGGGCUUAAACGGAGCACGGAUGAAUUAGUUAUGAAUUUUAGAAGAUUCACUGUGUUUUUACUAUAAAUGGAAAAAUCCUUAAUUGAAUUAUUGCGCAAUAAAUAAAUCCCGGAGAGAGAGGGGCGGCGCCGACAAGUGGGCCCCACAUGGCAGCGGCGCAUGGGUGGUCGGUCUACCGUGGACCGGGACCACGCGGGUGGUCCACCGCCGGUCCACGGGAUCGACGGCCCGGAUCGGCCCGGGGCCGAUCGGACGGUGCGGCGGUGGCCUGGCUCGGCUCGGCUCGGCACAAAGCCGGCCGGCCGGCCAUGGCAAGGGCGGCGGCGCGCGCGCGUCCACCGGCGACGGCAAGCGGCGGCGCGGGCGGCGGCAGCGGACGGCGCCCCGGCGGCGGCGACGACCGAAGGCGACGGCGAGCGCGGGUGGCGGCGGCGCAUGGGGAAUCGGGGAAGGAAAGGAAAGGGGAGGGAGUCCUCACCGGAGGGGGCGGCGAUGACCGGCGACAAGGAGCGACAGAGGGAGGUCGACAAGCGGCGGACGGGGACCAGGACGACCUAAAGAACGAAAAGGAAAAGGUUAGAGAGGGAGAAAGGGGCCAUAGAAGGCGGGAACGCCGGCCGAAGGCGGUGGACAUGGCGGCUCUCACCGUCGCACGGUGGGAAUGGCGCUCCGGCGGCGAACCUCGACGGAGGAGGGGUGGACGGGGUGGAUCUCGGCCACGCGAACCCGACGGCGGUGACGGCGCGGUGCGGCGGCGAGCCUAGCGGCAGCUAGCGGCGGCCGGAGUGGCGGGAAAGGCGGCGGCGGGUGGAUGCACGGUGCGGGAGCGAUAGAGAGCUCGGGAGAGUUCGGCGAAAUGGGGAAAAAGAGAGAGGGGGUGGCGGCGGAGCUUAAAUAGGGUGAGAGGGGGCCGGACGUGGCCGGGAGAGGCGGGAAUCGCCGGCCGACGUGGGGGAGUGGGAGAGGAGAGAGAGGCGGGAUUCGAAAAUCGAAUCCCGGCCGUCUCGGGAGCGCGGGCGAGCGGGAGAGAGGGGGAAGUGGGCGCGGGAGGCGCGGGUGCGAGGGCGACGUGGACGACGUGGCCCGGGAGGCGCGGACGCGAGGCGCGGCGGCGAGCGGCUAGAGGUUGGGGGAGGACCCGACAGGUGGGCCCCACCUGUCGGUGACCCUGAGAGAGAGGAGGGGGUGCGGGCUGAGCUGGGCCGUGGCCUCCGGCCGGCCCAGCAAGGCGCGGGGAGAGAGGAGGGGAAUGGGCCGGCGGCCCACUAAGGGAAAAGGAAAAAGAAAAAGAAAAAGGAAGAAAUGAAUUUCCAAGGAUUUAAAUAUUGUCUGUGCUCAAUUUUAAUUGAUUAAAAUUAUUUCUAGAGCUCUGAAAAUUCCACUAAAAAUCUUGUUAGCGUAUUUCGGCAUGUAGAACUCAACAAAAAUUCCACCUGCCAAUUCCGAUUAUUAUUUGCAUUAAUUUAUUAAGGUUUACUCUUGCUUUACACAGGUAUUUUCUUAAGACCAUUUAUAGCUUCAAUUUAGGCUUGGGAAAGAACUUCGGGGUGUGACAGGCCUCCACCAUCGCCACCCCAAUGCCGUCGCCAUCCCCGCCGCCAUCACCCACAACACCACCCGGUGCAACUCGCCUCGACCGCCACCGUCGCCCGUCCCCGCCGCCGACGGCUUCCCCACCGCCAGCCCAUCCUGCCAGAUCCGGCCGGAACGGCGCGGAUCUGGCGGACACCGCCGUCGCCACUCCGGGCGGCUCCCCAGGCUGCCCGAGCGCGAGGAGACGAGGAGCGCCCCGCCGCCGCCGUCCUUGUGGCUGCGUGGCUUCGCCGGCGGCCGCUCGGGCGACGGCGAGGCGGAGAAGGGGGUGGGGGUGGGGGAGAGGGGCGGCGGGGUCGUCGCCUCCCGAGCCGCCCCUGGGGAGUGCGACGUGAGAGGGUUUUUCACUCUAAAAGAGUUUUGAGAAAUUCAUAUGUCUAAUAUAAAUAUGGCAUACUUUUGGUCAAAUUACUAAUUUAAUUCAAAUACCAAUUCAGGGCUGAUGAGGAUUGAGGAGUCUAGGACGAGGAGAAGAGGAAAACAAGAAGGCAAAGGCAGCCACAGCCAUCCCCCAGCCGCUAGGGCUUAGGCACUCGGCUCGUCCCACCGCCGCUCGCUAGCUGCUCCCGACCUCGUAGCUCGGCGUCAUGUCAUCAUCGUCGUCGUCUCUUCGCUCUCUCUAGACGCACGCAGGCACAAGCGUGCAAUAGUCGGGAAUUGCUGAAUUGGACUUGCGAGGAGUCGUGACGUCUUAGCCUCGACGCACGCACGCGAUUACCACGAGUUGCGAGAGAAGCGACGUGUUCGCCUAGGGCUGUCUUUUUUUUUUGUUUCUCGCUUGCUCCCUAGCAGGCCUAUCUAGCCAUAUAAUAUCUUGUCCAGAUUCGUAGUAUUAGAAUAUGUCACAUUUAUCCAAAAUCUCUUAUAUUUUAGAACAGAUGGAUUAGCUCAUUCCGAGGUGGGCCCUCAAAAAUUUGGGGCUUUUUGCAGCCGCGUGUUCGUUCAUGGCUAUAGAUGGUACUGGAUUAUAUUUUGAUUUGCCAUCAAUGACUAAAAGUAUUAUAAAUAUAGGUAGAUUUGUUUGUUAAUUAUAAAUACUCCUUCGUAGGUACUUUUACAAUAUUACUAUUUUAUUUGAUAUUAUUGUUAUAUUCUAAUAGAAAUGGUCAAAGUUGUACGAAUAAAAAUAAUGUAUUAUUUUAAAACGAAGGGAGUAUACUACUUGGUAAUUCUAUGUACAAUAUUUAUUUAAUUUUUAACACUAAGUAUUUGAGAAAGUAUCGAUGGUCAGAAAUUCAUAAUUUAUAAGUUUGACGAAAACUUGUCAAAUAUCUUUUAGGCAGGGCAUACCUAGUAAAAGAUACUGUAAUUUUUGUGAGUAAUUAAGUACUUUUGACAUAAAACUAUGUGAAAUAUUUCAAUUGUACUGUAUAACUACAUAUUUCAAACAAAAGUUAUCAUGAAAUUUUAGAUUUGACACAUUGUAUUAUAAAUUAUGUAUGUCCCAUCAAUUUUAUCACAGAAGGUACAUAUUUCACUAUUAUACCUUAUGGUUCGAAUGUAGUUAGAAACUUUUUGGUUUAAGCUUGAUGACAUUGUUGAUUGGACCGACCAACUUUGGUCUAGUAUCUAUGGAACAGUUAUUUACAUAUAAUGGCAUAAUUUCUGGAUUAUUUGAUAAUCACCAUAACGAAGACAGAUUAUAUCUAUAUUCUGUUUAGUUUUCGUCAAAAAAAUAUUGUGAGAUUUAUAGUCUUACAUUAUUAAGACUUAAAUCAUGUUUUUAUUAAUUUAUUAUCACUAUAAAAACUGCCCGUGCCAGAAAGCCAAUUAACUAUUUUUUUAAUCUAUCAAUCACUUUUCACCUAUACUCAAUAACUCAUGUUUACCCCCUUUUUUUUCUUCUACAAAAACUUACUAAAAUUGUAUAAAUGGUUAUUUAUCCUCACUGAUAGGGAAGGAAAACACGAUGAAAGUAAACCAUAGAAAUACAUCAACAUUCAUUGAUGAAGAGAGCUAUAGUUUGCGUACAUCUAAUAUUUACAUGUAUCUUUGCAAAAAUGAUAUCCAUCCAAGUGCACGAGUUUACAUCACAGGUACAACUCUUAUUUCCAAUUAGCAUUUUUCUUGGUGCAUUGUGCACAAGAAAGACAGCAAAUUUCAGAUGGCUCUGUUCGGCUGUUUGAUCCAUUGCUACAGAGUACAGACACAAAUUACUAUGCUUGAUAUAUAGCUGUGUUGCAGCCGAACAAACCCAAUGGGCGAUCGAACUGCACUGCAUAAUGCAUGCGGCGCAUAACAACAUUCUUGCAACGAUAAAUCAAUAUCAUAGGUUCGACAGCAUCAACAAUUAGGCAAAGCAAAUUAAAAGGCCCUUGAUUAAGAAAAUCGCAAAGUUAAAUUGCGACGGAUCCCAUGUGAUUAGGCAGAAAUUUAAGAUUCAAAGUGAUUAGGCAGGGAGUAAUUGGUGGAAGAACUAACAGUGCGGUGAGAUGCUACGUGAUGGGUUUGGAUGGUCCUGGAUCUAGGUGCCCGCCUGAGGCGGCGAAGCAUGUCAGUGCAGCGAUGGAAAUUGAUUGAUUGAUGAAUCAACCCUGUCAGAAUGCCUCUCGGCGCAGCAUGACACCACUGGUUGUUCGGCGAGACGCCGUGAAUGCCAAAGGCGUGCAACAGAAGGGCGCAAUUAGAGAAAAGGAAAGGAAGCCAACCGAUCGGUUUUUUUCCUUUAUUUUUUUUUCUUUUUGGUUACUGACUGUGACACGGGCGAUCGCUGCUAAGUGGACUCUCGUUUUGUUGCUAACGAGAGACCUCUGUCCCGAUUCUUCCUUAGCAAAUAGAAAAUAUAUUCUUACCUUCUAUACUUUAAAUAAAUUUUUCUCUUAAAUCACUCAUCCGAUAUACGAUAUGAAGAUUUCUUUCACUGCGUAAACUUUGAGCAUGGUAAACAUGAUGCAUGAAUUCAUAUGGUAAUUUUCGUUACUGCAUCUCAGGAUUGGAGCUUUAUCUAGGAUAGACAUAAUUGUGAAGAUAGUGAAACAAUAUACUUAAGGAGUACUGUACUGUAGAGACGUAUCGUACGAGUAUUUCUGAAUUCUUGUUAACUUUGUACCAGUUACAUGUUAUAUUUGUCUCAUGUUCAACUCUGUACCAAAUAUAUUUGUUGCGUUGGUGAAUUGAAAUAGGAACAGGAAUUGGACUAAUAGAAAUUUAAAUAGGAAUAUAAAUAAAUAGGUAGUACAUGAACUUGGUAUUUUGAUUUCCCUUGUGAUUUGGUCUGUAUGUCAGGUGGGGUUGGGAGGGAAUAGGACAGAAGUUAGAUUAGAUUUCUCGUUAGACUAAGUUAGAUUAGAUUUUUGUCAGGUGGGACGGCAGAAACAAUACGAAUCUUUUAAGUAUGUAAAUAAAAAGGUAAAGAAGUAGAGAAAUAGGUAGUUUUAUGGUACUGUGUCUUAUAAAUAUAGUUAAAAAAAAGGGUCUACUUCACUCCCUCAAACUAUUUUGUCUGAGCACUCAACCCCUAAUAAUUUAUUUCUUUCUAUAUAUAAGUUAUAUAAUGUACAUUGGUAUAUGCUUUACAACUUACAUCUCAAACAUUACUUAAAUUUUUUUUAUCACUGUUUACAAAAAACAAGAUUGAUUUAAGCAUCAAAACUUAGUUAUAAGCAAACAAUCAUGAUGAAAUCUGCAAAUAUUUUGAACCUUUGAUAAUGGUAUUCCCUCCGUCCCACUCGCCAAGACGCGAUCAAAUUUGGCACAGUCCGUAAAACUAAUCUUUUCUUUAAAUUUUUUCUAUAUUAUAAUGUUGGCAACAAAAUAGUAAUGACAUAAAAAUAAUUUUAAAUGACAAUCCAAUAAAAAUUUUUUCAUCAAAUAAAAUUUAAUUUAUAAUAAAAAUAUUUAUCGGUAAAAUGUGUGCGCAUUAAGUGUGACGAAGGGGUAUCAUCUAUGGGUCGAAAAAAGGUUCAGCUUAAAAUGAUACUUGUGUAAAGAGAAAAUGAAAAGGAGAAUUGCUAUUAAGCAUAAAUUAUUUUUAAAAGUUUAGAGAGUAAAAUGAGAAAAAAUAAUAAUUUAUGGGUUAAGUGAUCCAAUUAAAUUAAACAGUUUGAGAGAGUAACCGAUUUUUUUUUAUUUAUCGUAAUUAUUAUAUAUUAUUGUAAUUAAGUAAGUAGUAAAUGCUGAGAAAUUCAGGAAAAUAGGAUGGACGCUAUUUGUGAUGACGUCCAGAUAUUCAGGAAAUUCAGGAAAAUAUUCAUCACAACAGCAACGAGGUGAUACAAAUAUACACCCAUGAACAUGUGUGUUUUUACAUCCUAGUAGUGCAACGGCCGGAUAUUUUUCAUUACUGAAUGGAACAUCCAUUAUAUUUAAAAUAAUAUGUAAUUAUCGUUCUCUCACACCAAACAAAGUAACGAGAAUGGGAGUAGGCAAGCAGCAGGUGAAAAUAUAUUCGGUCAUCCAAUCCAAUCUGUUGAGCACCCUUCUGUCAAAAUGACCCAAUUUCCUGAAGACCUAUCAAGAACUAAGACGAGCAUCUCCAUGUUUUUCUAUGUUUUUUUUUUGUAACAUUUUUCAUGAAUAAUGUCUUACACCCUUCCCCAUAUAUAACUUGGGUCCAAAAUGGUAGUAGUGGUAGCCAACUUAACCAUGCAACUCACCAAGUCUGUACCAACCAGAACAACAAUGUUUGGCUUCAAAACACAUGACAAUACCAUAACAGACGGUUCCAAAACACUUGGCCUAGGCACACACCCAUCAAAAUCAAGUAAACCAUGUUCCGAAAAGAGAAGACCUCCAACCAUCUCUAUCAACACCAGCACUCGCCGCCGCAUACCCUAUCGUGACGAUGAAUAGGGUUCAAGGCUCGACGGCUGCACACAGAACCGGUAGAAACGGUUGCGGCUUCCCUCUGCCCAAGGUGAAACCCCGCGUGCCAUCUGGCAUGCGAGGGCCGGGAGGCUGCUUGGUGGCUCCAAUUGGCAGCUGCGGGUGCUGCUCAGGCUUGGUUUGCUGUUGAUUGGGCGGAGUCCCAACAUGAUGAGCGCCACCACGGUUGCCACCUUGGUGGUGGUGGUUGUUGGCGUGGUGAUUGUGGUGCUGACCGUUGUGGUAGUUCUGGUUGUUGAAAUGGUUGUUGUUAUGCUGAUGGUAGCCACGCCCUCGCCCUCUGCCACCACGUCCACGACCUCUGCCACGUCUUGGACCUUCCUUAUCAUUGGAACUGUCAUCAAACUGUACAACAUCAAACGUGUUAGGGACCCAUUACGGUGCUCAUAGGAGUUUUCAUUCAUCACAACUCACAAGGAAGAAGAGCAAGAUUGCACAAAGCAGAGAUAAGAUGCAAAAUGAAUAUGGACCAGUAAAAAGACUCAAACAAACAUGGUUUGGUGGAUUGGCAGUAAAUAGCAGAUUCUCGGUAAACUUUAUGUACAGUAUAUGACAGCCAGUUUGUUAUCUGCUUUCGAGAUAUUGCAAGCUUAUCAGGGAGUUUUUCUGUGUGUUAUUUGAGGUAGGACAUUAUGUAUCUUGGUUCGCUCUAGUUCUUACCAAGUGAUCUGGCAACAUAUCUGACAAUUGAGAGGGUUCUUCGAGUUGCUUCUCAUUUGAUUGGUUUGAAGUGGAGACAUCCUCCUCGCCAUUUCCAUCAGCUUCAUGCACUCCCUUUUUCCCUUUGCCUGCCCCCUUUGUCUGCAUUUUAGAAAAAUAACACCAAAACUGGAAGAUGAGACUGUACUUACACGUCAAAUUAAAAGCAGCCCAUGAUGCACACAUGCAAUUCCUGUUUGCACUGUAACAGGUAUCAUAUAAAUUUCGAGAAAUUUGGUUAAUAUGUAUAACAGAUAACAAGUACAUAAAAAAGGAGGGCUUGUCACAGUUGAUGACGGCAUUAAAAGGGCAUAUAGUGACAAAGGUCCCCUGAACAAACACGCCAGUAACUGUAGAGCUAAAAAGUUCUAUUUAUAUCAAUCAGCCCACAUAUGAUACAUUUCUGAAGGAAACAACAAAAUACAAUAUCCAAAAGCAGACGUUAGGUUUCAGCGGCCAGAAAUUUGCAUUUCACCGAUAAACAUAUUCAUGCAUGGUCAACUCGUACAAGUGCAUAUAUCAACAGGAAAAAUAGAAAGCUACCAUAUGUGCUACUAUAAAGUUAAUUAACAAGAUUAUUAGUUAAUUACCAUGCAAGUAUUCAAUAACCUAACUCUAAGCCCAUUUCUCCAGUUCUUCUCAUCAUUAAGCUCCAGAAUCUGCAUUGGAUCAGACAAAGUAAUAAGAAUAUAUGGUCAAAGAAGUACUGCUUCAUGAAAUUCAAAACAAUUAACACGUACCGCUUUCUCAGCAUCUUCAAGGGUCUCAUACUCCACAAAAGCAUGCAGCUAUUCCCAAAGAAAAAUAAAUAUCACUUCAUUAACAAACCAAUGAACAAAUGCUAUUGUAAAAACGUAAGACUAAGCAGAAAGGAUUAUUCAAAGAACUGUAGAGUGUCAAAUGAUAAUUUCAACCAUGCAGUGUUGUGAUUAUAUUGAUUAGGUGCUCCGAGGCUAUUAGCUCAACUAUAGACCUAGUCAUCUGACCAGUCAGCAACUAGUCAUCCAUAAUAGUCGGCAACUAGAAGGGGAGGAAAAUGUUAGUUGGGCUUGAGCGCCUAAAGGCUACAGCCCCCUCCCUGGACCUAGUGGCACUCUGGCCCUGCCUCACUUCCCCUUCUCAAGCUGCUGAAGGUGCCAAGCAGGAGAAGAUGAGCUACUCCAGCUCCCCCUCCAAUGAUUAUUCUUCUUUCUCAAGCUAUUCUGCUCCUCUUACUCUCAGUAGCUACUCUGCCCCUAUCACUGAUUAGUCAUGACUAAUCGUCUAGUUGGUAGCCAUACGAGUAGGUUCAACUAGCCAGUUUGAAAACAUUGAACCAUGUUGCUUGUUUUGUUGGGAAAAGUAACAAUAACAUCAAAUUUUCAGGAAAAGUAUAAUGACAACUUCAACUAUGUUGCACAUUUUCUAAAAAGAAGUAAAAAAUAAACAAGAAAAUUUCACGCAUGUUUUAAAAUAAAUGAUUUGGCACAUUGAAACACAACAUGAAUGAGACCUCAUCUCUUAUAGCUAAGUGAAAAAACUUCCAUGAUGAUAAAGGUGUCAAAAAAGGAAAAAAAGAAUUGCAGGCUUACAGCAGAAAAGCAUAUGGAUGAGGGCUAACAAUGUGUUCAAACUAGCAAGUAAAUCAAGCAAGAAUAUGACAAAAACUAACAAAUAUUGUGCCCCAUAGAUCCAAGAGAAAUGUUCACCUCGAGUGAACAGCCACUAUUACCCAGCUUGGCAAAAUAGAACUUCUUGUAGCUUUCAGAAUUGAUUUCAGCAAUUAUCAAAAACAUAAGUACAUCUAGCUGUCACUGAAGUUGAAACCAACGCUAAAUGGGGAAGUCUAUCUUAGUUCUUAAAUAAGGGACAAGUCUCAAGCAUACAUCCGUAAGCCUUCUUACUGAUAAAUGUUCUAAUAUAAUUUAUCUGCAGUAGAAUGCACUCGGGCAAUACUGCUAGAGGAUGAAAGUUUGGGAAUGAUUCUAAUGUAAUUGAUACAAUUCCAUAAGAAUAAAAAAUAAUUAGUAUUCACUUACCAACAAUAUUAUGAAUUUAUGAUAACAUAAUUUAUAACAAUUGAAUGGGAAUUACCUUGUUGGCAAACAGCAUAUCUAGCUUGGCAGAUCUAUUAGUAGCAGGACUAUUGCCAUUUGAAGAUUGAGGAUAACAGGUUCGAAUGGUCUUCACACUAGAACAUUAAAAAGUCGCAAUAUAUUAUUUUUCUAAGAUCCUCAAAAGGGGAAAUAGGAUGCUCACAUGUUGCAAACUCCUACCUGCCAACAGUUGAAAAGAUCUUCAUAAGAUUCUGAUAACAGGGAUCACCAGGAAGAUUUUCUGCAACAACUAUUCGGGACUACAACAAAGAUGAAGAAGCCAUAUAAAUCAGUGUAGAUUAUCACAAAUUUACAAAAAAAUAAGAUAAACAGCAUGCGAUUGAGAUUCAUGAAUACCUGCAGGUCCUGCAUAUCAGAUACAGUAAAUGACUGCAGCCUCUUUACUCUUUUUCCAUCAUCACUUACAACCUGCAAUGUGAAUGGAAUAAGUAGAUAAAACAGGAAUUUUUUUUUGGCUAGAAAUAUCAGUAGAUAAAAAAUUGGUGUUUUACUCCUAAAAAUAAACAUAUGUUGUCCUUCAAAGAUAACCAUCAUAAAGUGAGCAUACCACAGUACGGAAUGAAGAAACUUACAAGUUUUGAUGAGGUUCGAAGAGCGGCGGCAAGCAUUGAAUUAUUAUGCACUAAAGCUUUUAUUUUAUUGAAGCCGGCAAUUACUGUUAUUGGCACUGCAUUCAUGAAAAAGAAGAAAUGUUACCACCAAACAUGGCUUGUUAUAAAAUAUAAUAUUCCAAACAAAACCUAAUAUUCCCUCUCUUAACCCAAAUAUUUAGGAAAAUAAUUAAUAACCUAAAAACAAUCAUCUUUCAUCUGGCAAUAUCAAGCAUAUCCAUGUACCAACAUCUAGGAGGACCAAAAAAAAUUCCCACUUUUGGAAAUAAUAGGAGAUAGUUCUUUUUCACUAGUAAAGCUUAGCAAAAAAGAGUUUGUUUAUACUAGUAAAGCUUAGCAAACUAUUGUAAGAAAAAUGUUUACCCACAGCCAUUUUGUUUUGAAAAAAUGUAUUACUUUUAGACAUCAUUAUAAUCAUGUAAAAAAAUAAUCAAUUUCUCCAAAAAUUAAAUUCAUUCAAAUAAUUAUACACAACUCACCAUAUCCCUCAGGGUCCUUGGUAAUAAAUCUCAUCAAGUGUUCUGUUGUUGCUAGGUUUAUAUCACUGAAAUAGUACUCCACCUACAAAAUUGUCCUCAAAUAGUUUCAGGCAAGAGAAAACACAAAAGAAAAGAUAAGGAGGUGUCAACAUGAUUAUCAAGAUGGCAAGGCAAGUAUGAAACCAUAUGAACUUGAUUAUGGCAUCAACUGGAAGAGUAGAUGAAAAAAAAAAGAGAAAAGGCACAAAGAAUCCACACCAACUGGCCCAGAAAGUCCCACAAACAAAACUCUAUGCUCUGAAGAGACAACUAGUAACAACCAGAACUCCAGAAGGCUUGCUGCCACCAGAACAGGGACGAUACAGCAGGGUUAGGUAGAGAACUAGCCACACUGCCACAGUUGCUACAAGUCGACAACAAUGUUCGCUGCCCAGCACCAUGAAAAAAACUAUAGGGAACUAAGGAUAGUGGCAGCAACAGAUACAGCAAGGUACAGCCCUAUAAGGCUAACAUCUGACAGCAGUGCGACUCCCUGGCAGCAAGCCCGCAGCAAUGAAUAAGAGGUAUACCCAGCAUCAGAUCUAUUGAUCCCCUAUCAAAUCAAGGCAAUUUUACCUACAGUCCCCUUCUCCCGUCUCUUUUCUCAUCUACCUCAUAGGCAAUGGCUAACUAACUCCCUGGAGAGCCUUAACACAGAGGAGUCACCUAGGUAAACAUGAGACGAACUCUAAAUAACUAUAUCUAUGCGAAAAUAAGCACAUUAUCCUUCUCUCUCUGACUGAUCUACUAGACACUACAAAACAACACGACUAACGCUAUUUGACAGGACUUGGCAUCCUUUGGGAAUUUAUGACCAUCCGAAAAAACUCCAUUUAAUGUAGCUUUUUAAAGAUUUACAUAUUUGUCAACUGAUUAGUUAUUACAGAUUACAUAAGCAAUAAUGUUUUACUAUUUGUGUAAAAAAUAUCUUAAAUGUCCUAACUCUUGACCACUGCACAUCAGUUCCAAACAGAACCAUACUUUCCUACUACCUAUUUACAAGCCUGUGUCUAUUUAAAAAGCAGUCCAAUGAAAAUUGAAUACACAAAUAAAACAUAGGAACAUAUUUUGCACAGCUGAGUCACAAUUAUGUAUGAUCUGAUUGCAACAGCUGCCUCCACUAAAUUCUAAAUAAUAAAGUCAAUAAUAAAGUCAUGAAGGACAAAAGUAUUUCUGUUGUAUUCUGCAGUUUUAUAAAGUAGACUAGAUGCUCACUGCUAUAACACUAGCCUAUUAGGAAUGUUUCCCUCAAUCAUGAUAGAGAUUCACUAAACAAACAGCUGAUUAGAUAAAAUUUCACCAAAUAAUUUAGAACUUCACUAUGUUAGUACACUUAAAUGUUUUCCAAACCAAGGCUGCAAGGCAACCAUGUGCUUGAAAGGCGCCAGGAUGCCAAGGCAUCCAGGGCAGGCACCUAAGUGUCACUGAGGCAAGGUAAGGUGAACUAAGACCCUGUUUAGCACAGCUCCAAUUCCAAGUUUUUUGGAACUGAAUUUUCCUAGGUACAGAUCAAACUCCAAGUUUGUUUGAGCUGGGUUUUACUAGCUCCAAAAAUUCUGGAGUUGGAACUGGGGCUAGAUCAAAGGUUGUUAGUGUGAGAUAUUCUGUUCACGCUUUAGGCUAAAAUUAGAUUAUUAGAUCACUUUAUUUUAAAUAGUAAAUUCUAUUUCUGCAAGAAACUAGGAGUUGGAACCAUGCCAAACAGGGCCUAAAGCAGAAUGGAGGAGAAUACAUGGGCAACGUUGAACAGAACAGAAACAAACCAAGCAGAACGGAGCAAACAACGCCACAACAACCAUGUUUCAAAUAACCAUCCACAACCACAGGUGCUCUCGAUGCUCAGCACAACAGACUACUCCCUCCAUCCAGGUUUGAUCAGCACGUUCCAUCUUGAGAAACUAAGGAGAUAUUAACUCCCCAUGUUAAUCAGUCUUAGGGGACACAUCGUCCAUGCUACAUUCACGAAAAAAAGGAGCCAUGCACAUCCGUUCUGCAUGAGAUCAGCUACAUACUUUGUUUUCCUUUCUUUUAGUUGAUUGUUGUUUAGCCGGCGAACCAAAACAUCGAUUUUUGGGGAUCUGAUAGAGCCGUGAAAUGCAUUACUCCUGAGAUGCAAAACGUGCUGGCAGAGUAACUCUGCGUGCGAACCGAAAAGGGCGAGUGGCCUGCACCCGAGACGCAACGGGUGGGCCCAUGGGUAAUGCGACGAUCAAUAUUAGAAAUUGUUAGGCACAGAUCAUUUUUUAGAAGGAGUAUCACAUAUGAAGAACCUAAGUUGAACAGCACCAAACACCUCACCAAUUAAGGGAAUUUAGCGAUACAUUGUUUCUACACAUAACUAGGAAUUUUUCAUAAAUUGCAUCCCAAAAUGUUUGUGCAUUCUUAAAAUUAGCGUAAUCAGCCACUACAAACAGCAUCUACUCAGUACUUGAGCCAACUCAGAACGCUGUUUAAGACAAUACAUGAUCAGUAAACCCAAAACCUAAACAUUCUAAUCGAUUUUUCCCCUAAAUCAUCACAAUAUAAUUUGCUGAAUACUACUACUGUUUAUGAUACAUCUAUCUACGGGGAAAUAGAUGCCUACCUGCUUGGUAAUCUUGUGCACCACCUCGUCGGGGAACCCGUCGACCAGUGGCUCCGCCGCCUCCGUCGCAUCCGGGUCCACUUCCGCCUCCUGCUCCUCGGCGGCGGCGGCGGCGGCGAACUGACCGCCCCUCACAGGCGCGUAGUACUCGUACGGCCGGUGAUGCGGCGGCGGCGGCGCGAAGAAGGCCGCCCGCGGCGGGGGAGGCGCCGCGGCGAACACGCGGAUCACCGGCGGCGGCGGCGGCACCACGGGGGCGGCGACCCGCGGCACGAACUCCGGCGCCCCCGCGUUGAGGCGGCUGGCCGAGCCGCUCCUCUGCAGGCCCCGCUCCGCCGCCGCGGCGGCGAUCUGGUCGGCGACCUCCUGCUGCGGCAUCAGGGCAAGCGGCGGCGAUAGCCCGGUAGCUACUAGUAGCUCGUGAUGGCGGCGGCGAUAGCGGCGGCGGGGUAGUAGCCGCGGUGGCGGUGGGUGGGUACAGGGGAGAGCUUGCGGUGGCGGAGAAGGGGAGCUCUCAAAAAUCUAGGGUUCCGGUGAGGUCGGGUAUUUAUAGGGCGCUGACUCUCGCGGCGGGGGAAGGGGCGGCGACUGUGGGGGUGGGUGGGUGGACCCGGUGUACGGUGGGGGUGAAUGGGAGCCGUCCAAUCUGCCUCGAGAUUCGGGAUGGCCUUAACUGGGGUAUGGACGCGGUGUAGAGAGCAGGGAAGCGCGCGACCCAGCGAGGAGAGUGGAAGGAAGAGGAGAGGAGAGAGGGAGACCCCUGGUGUGUGGGGACAGGAGAGGAACAGAAAAUAUCUCUUGCUCUCUCUAAACAAAAUAAGGACAGAAAUAUUGCUCUUUGGGCAGGUUCAAUACUAGAGUAUGGUCUCUUAAAUAAUAUUUUAUAUGAUUAUUUAGAGACCAUGUUUUUAUAAUAGUUGAGAUAACAAAGGCUCUAAUUAUUAACUCGAAAAAUAUUUUUUUUAUUAAUAUUCUUUCCCUUUUUUCACCUUCGUGCAACCAUUUUUCCAUAUUAUAGUGAUUAAGAGUCGUUGUUAAGCCGUUGUUAUACAUAACAAUGAUGUUUUGUCUCUUAUUUUUCUCUUUCCUCUAUGUCAACAAGUAUUCCUAAUUAGCUACACUAAGAAACCACUAUUGACAACCAUUGUGCAUGCCCUUAGUGUUUAUUUUUCUUAAAAUGGCCAAAUUUAUUUAGUGUUACUCUAUAUUAAAUAAGAGAAUAUAUUAUAAUCUAUUGUUACCCUAUUGAGAAAUAUAAAAGUUUAUAAAGUAGAACAAAGAGACUUCAUAAUUUGGAUUGUUGCAUGAGAUGGGAGCACAAUAAAGCUGUGUUCGGCACCCCUUUUCCCGAUCCAUCUCCCUCGUCUAUCGUACUCAUGCCUUUUAAACUGCUAAACAGUGUGUUUUUGCAAAAAUUUUCUAUACGAAAGUUACUUAAAAAUCAAAUUAAUCUAUUUUUGAAAAAAAAUAGCUAAUACUUAAUUAAUCACGCGCUAAUAGACUGUUCUAUUUUCCGCGCGUACUAUUUCGGUUGGGAACAUGGAUUGGCGAACACAGCCUAAGUGUUGACCAACUCCAUGAAAUGAAAAUGCAAAUGAAUAAGCAGGAGGCAUUUUCUUCAUCUAUUUGAGAAAGUUAAUAAACCGGUAUAACCGUAUAACAAGUCGGUACCAAAAGUUAGUGCUAUAGAUUGGGUCACCCGUUCGCUUAACAAAUAAAGCCUUUCUAUUUUUUUUUAGGAUCUUAGCUAGUAUAAUUCUUCGAGAAUCUCAUAUAUGAACUAGCCACCUCACAAAUAAAGUACUUAUGAAAAAUGAUAGAAAGAGAACAUAAACCUAAGUGAAUAUAAUUCCAUUAAUAAAAGGCAUACUCCGGACUAUCUAAUACAUUUAAAUGAUAAAGACUACUCCCUCCGUUUCAUAAUGUAAGUCUUUCUAGCAUUAUCUAUAUUCAUAUAGAUAUUAAUGAAUCUAAAUAUAUAUGUAUGUCUAGAUUUAUUAACAUAUAUAUGAAUGUGAGAAAUGCUAGAAAGUUUUACAUUAUGAAAUGGAGGAAGUAUUAAAAGCAAUUAAAGAAACCCUAUAGACUUACUUAACUAAAACGAGAGAUAGAUCCCCUCUCCAUUGCCACUAUCACGGUACCAUGGACAUCGGAGAAAAAUGAAGAAGGGGAUUGGAAAGGGUGCAAGGGAUCGCUUGAGUCGCAUGGCUCACACCCACCAAAUGUGCUACUUAUAUUCUUACGAAGCAUUUUUUUUGUUUUAUUGAUAAAACUCUAAGACCUUGUAUUUCCUCCUUGUUAAAUCUAAGCUGCAAUGGUUAGGUUGCUAGCACAUGGAACCAGAAUUCAAUCGCAUCGAGAGCUUGAGUUAGUGUGUACUUCCACAUCUCCAAAAUUUGCAUAGUACUCUCUCAUUCCCAAAAUGAUCAUCAUGUAAUAGAAUCCAAAAUUUCUCAAAUUGAUCAUCAUAUAACUACAUGGACAUGGAUUUUAUCAGAAUAUAAUUAAUGCAAUAUGAGAGAAUAUGUGGGUGUAGUUGGCAUAAGGUUUUAGGCCAUUCCCAACCCAAUGACUAGGAUGUUGUUCAUAGCAUUAAAUAAGUUACCACCUAGAACGAAAAAUGAUGUGACAAGUAAAUAAACGAGGAAAGAGAGGAAACCAUGUCUUGCACGAGAUAUGGUUUUUACACAACAUCCAAGACAUCAUGUGAGAUAAGUAGCAUUAAAUUUAAGUAUAGAAUAGUGGUGUUUGCAUUGGAAUAGUAGUGUCUAGUACUAGUUUCUUGAUGAUGUGAAGUUUAUGGAAACUAUGUCUAGUGUCUAGGGUUGGGAAUAGCCUUAAUCGAUACAUGUAUUGUGGGAGAAUGCAUGUGUGCAUAGUGUCUUGAUUGAUGUGAUUUAAAUUGUUCUUGGUCUUGGUGCAUAAACUUAUAUGAUGAUCAAUUUGGGAAAGAGGGAGUAAUUUGUUAAGGUGUUAACAUUAUAGAGCUAAGAGCUUGGGCUUAAGCCUUACUAGCACCAUAAUUGUUUCUACUCAUCUCUUUAAUAAAAAAAACAUACACAUAAAAGUAUGCUUUAUUAGCAAUGUCUAUAAUAUCGCGAGUGUAGGGAUAUGGGUGGUGUGUUUGCAAUGUAUCUUUUAUGCAAUCCGAAAGCGUAAAUAUGAUUUGGUGAUGUGUACGUGUAGAUCCAAUGUCAUAAACAAGUCACAUGUCUUUGUUACUGACAUGUAGGUCCAAUGAAUCAAGGCAAAAUUGGAUAUAUAGCAAUGAAAGUUUUUGUGUUUGGUUUUAUAGCAAUGAAAUUUUCUUGUUCAUUUUAUUAGCAUCCAACUUUCCAAUCUGUUACUACGGCCGUGUUUAGAUGCAAAUUUUUCUUCAAACUUCCAACUUUUCCAUCACAUCAAAACUUUCCCACACACAUAAACUUCCAACUUUUCUGUCACUUCGUUCCAAUUUCAACCAAACUUUCAAUUUUGAUGUGAACUAAACACAGCCUACCUAGAGCAUUCCUGAUCCUACCUUCUAAUUCUCUCCUCUUUCUCUCUCCUGAGUCCCCGACUGGCGCUGCUCCCCCUCGCGUGGCGCACGACGUGAAGCCGAUGCUGCACCCUCACCUUUUGAGCACCACUCCUAACGCGUCAUUCGCUCGUCGAAGCCUGUGUUGUUGCUUGGCCUCCACCUAUGCUAGUCUGCCCCCUUUCGAUUGAAUCAUUCAUGCUUUGUACUGAGCUAGAGAGUGUUUUGCUUGAACUCCAACUGAAGUUUAAAUGAGUUGUCCAUGUCUUCUUGCUACAUGCAUCUUAUUGAUUUUCCUAGUGCUAGCAUUUGCAGAUUUGUGCAGGAUAAAAUCACAGAAACUUUUGUUUUGUCGUUGCAAUUUGUUUGGAAAUUCAGAUACAUGACAAAAGCUAAGUUAAGCGACACAGAAUGACAAAAGUUUAGUUUAUGUGUUGCCGAUCUGAACACAGCAACAAGUUUUUUAAUCUUUCUCCUACAUGAAGAAUGAACAGCAACAUGAUCGAUUGGCAGCAGCAGCGUCGCGUUGCUGCUAGUGAUAGGAUGGAUGGGUGGCUGUUGGUGAGUGGUAACAGGACAUAAGGGGUGGGCAGUUGCGGUGGGGGUAAAGCGGACCGCUGCUGCCGCCGCGCCUAGAGAGGGAUAUCCAGAUAUAUAUGCGACACGGAAUGAGCUUGACGAUACGCACUGGGGGUGGGGGAAGGGGUAGAUCGAUUAGGUUAGAAUAUAAUAGAACACAAUUACAGAAAUAAUACACAAAUAGCGUGUGCUAGUCGGUGACUCGGGGGAAUGAAAGAGGAGUGAAUGAGAAGGUAGGAUCAAAUGGUUCAGUCAGAAUUAAUCAAUCUAAUAGCAAUAGAGCUGUAAAUGAUGGAAGUGCUCUAGAUAGUAACGGAUUGGGAAGUUGAAAGCUAAUAAAAUGAAUUAGAAACUUUCGGUGCUAUAAAACCAAAAAACGAGAACUUUCGGUAAUAUAUCUAAUUUUGUCAUGAAUGAUAAACCCAUCUAUUAAUAAUAAAGGUACGGUGUUUUGAAAUCUCAAUCCGUGUACGCAUAUGCGUUAUUUCGUGUGAUGAAAAAAAAAGGAAAAAAAAUUUGGAGAUACGCAUACGAUACCAUAUCUUUGUGUGAGCAGAAGACGCAAACGCUCGCCACGCGUCUUCUUCACUCCACUCCACACCACUUCCCCCACCUUCUCUCUCAUCUUCUCCCCAACCCAACCCUCAUCUCGCCGCCGUCGCGCGCAAUGGCGGCCCCGGCGCUCCUCUCCGCCCCGCCCCCGCCCCCUCCGAUGGACGAGGACGCCAGCGCGGGCGCGCACCACGCGUUCCCGGGCCCCGCCCCUCCGCCGUCCCCGGAGGGAGCCCCUCCGCCGCCGCGGCGGAGGCGGUCGGCUGUCCGCGUCACCUCGGAGUUCGACAGCGACGCCCGGCUCUUCUCCCACCGCCUCUCCUGCCGCGUCAUGGACGGCCUCGCCAAGCUCCGGGUCCGGGUCCACCACGGGGUCGGCGGGGCCGGGGCGGCGGCGGUGGAGCCGCCGCCGCCCGAGGUCGCGCUCCUCGCGCGGAACUUCUCCGUCGCCGUCGACACCGUAGCCCGAAGCGCCAUGCUGCGGGGCGCCGCCGACCUCGCCGGAUCGCUUCGCCUCAGCGCCAAGCACGACACCAAGGUGCCACCUCUUGAUUGAUUUAUUUAAUUUAGUGCUUUGCUGGGAACGAUUGACCCUAAUGUGAAAUGUGAUUGGGCGUCUUCGCUGCUGUUUGCAUCUGGCUCUUGACAUUUAUCUAGCCAUAUGGGUUAUGAAAGAGAAGGGAAAACAGAUAAAUUCAUCUCAUUUUGAAGAACAGAGGAAUUUAAUCCAGGACCUUACUUUGUCCGGAAUGACAGAAACGGGAUAUGCAAAAGGGUGUCAGUGAAAUAUUCUGUUUUCUUGAGAUUUAGUAGGCAGCUAAAAGUAAGCUGUUGAGUGAAGAACACAAAGGACCAGAUAUACUUGCAUUGUUGGGGGAGGAAGAAUAAAAAGUCUACAUGUCAUUUGCAGGCCUGCUUUCUGGGUUUAGCUUUAUGAGUUAAUAUUGAUUCUAGGUGCCGAAAUACAUCACUGGGCAUAAUCAUGCAUACUUGUGAUAUGACUGCGUAAAUUUCAAAAUUUGAAAACUAUUUUCUAUAGUCGAACCUUCUGCAUAAUAUGAGCACUUUUGGCAUUGCCAACAGAUGCAAGUGGUUUUGUUUAGGAUGUAUUGGUUAAGUUUGUGCAACAGUUUGGUACAACUGAAUCGGUGUUAUAUUUGGAGUUCUUGAGCUGAGUUGGGAAACAUAUGGAACACUGGCUAGAAAUUGUGAGAUCCUAUGUAUUGCACUAUGUGUUGCAUUUUAUGAAUAUCAAGUACUAGUGCUUUAAAACUUGAUGUCAUCCAUUCUGUCCUUACUGUAACCUUUUGAGUUUCUCAGAUGUCCUUCGAUAUAUCAUUAUCGUAAAAAUCAUUGUUGUAGAGCCAUUUUCUGCUUGAAUGAUUCCUAUGUAAAGAUCCAUCAGUAAAUAUGCGUGAUUUAUAAACUCUUACGUUGCUAUUGAUGCUCAUUCUUUUUUCAUAAAGCAGUACUGUGAGAUUUUGAGACUACCUUAUGUUUCAGAACUGCCAGAAUGGAGAGCAAUCAUAUUUUCAUAUCAGCUGCUCGACCCACCUUUUGUCUCUGUCUUGCAAUUAUGAAUAUGACAAAUCAACUGUUUCUUGUAUUCACUUGGAUAGGUACUUUCAAUUGAAGUACCACAGUAGAAAGGUGUGUUAUGUAUAUGGAGAAGCUAUUCUGAUAGCAUCUGUUUUGUUUGCAGUGAUUUUAUUUUUGAGCAGUUUCCUUAUCAGCUUGCAUUUUCCCAUCCAUUCUUGAAAUUAUUAAUUAGCAUUGGGACUGAACUUGAAGAAACAUCUGCUGAAAGUCUGAAACACAUUUAUAAAUUGCCAUAUGACUAACGAAUUCUCAAUGUAUGUUCCUUUUUUUUUUCUGUGGGGAUCUCUUUGGUUGUUACUCAGCAGCAAUUUGAUCAAAUGAUAUCAAUUUGCUUAAUUAUGAACUUCAAUGAUUCUUGUUGAAUUUGAUGGACAUUUUUUUUAGUUUUAUACUUGCAAUAGUCAGUCACUCAUUCAGUCAAAAUGAAUCCAUCGAGAAACGCCUUCAUUCUUUUUUCUGGAAGACCCUAUGAAAUGCGGUGAUGGUCAUUUAAUAUGAACAUCUAUCUAUUCUUUAUUGUAAAUUAGUGAAUGAAAUGAGUUCUUGGAAGUCACACAUCUGUGGCAUAUACGUUAUACUUGUUUUCGAAAGGCAUGAGUCUAUAAAAGGCCUUUGUAUGUGCCAAAAUUAUUUAACAUGGAACAAUAAGUUGGUAAUUUGUAUCUAUUUGCUAUUAUAUAGCAUAGCUUUUGUUGUGCUAUAGAAAUAUGUCUUCAUGAUACAUGUAAGAUACCGCAUAGUAUAUGUGAUCAUUUUUUGUUCUCUUAAUUAGGAGCAAAAAGGGGAAGUGGCGGUGAGAGCAAAUUUGGGUGAUUCACCAUGCAAGAUUGAGUUAUCAUCUGUGGUUCCACCUGAUGGAUUGGUCAGUAUUUAUGCAACCAAGUCACUAAGAUGAAGUGAAAAAAAAUAGUUAUUGGAAAUGCACUGUAGCCCUUGCUGUUAUUGAUAAUGUGAAACUAGAAAACACCAUGCAUGAGUUCAUUGAUCUUAUUUGUAUGUAGCCGAGGACAACCUUCAUCUUUCCCAAUGGUGAAGUUUCAGUUAAGCAGAAAUAUUUGGAUGAAGGUGACAGGAUUUUGUCAGUAAACGGCAUAGUGAGGUCUCAUGUUCUGAAUGGAGUUUGCACUGCAUUGUACAGUGACAAUGAGAUGAACAUAAAAUAUCGUUACAAGGUAAGCAUCUCUCAGCUGGCCUUCGUUUCUGUCAUGGGCCUUGGCCUCCUGCCCCACAACAGUUCCAUUGACAUUUAUUUUACUGUGCCACUCAUGAUGGAUAUUUGUUGUAUUUUAUAGGAUGAAGAGUUAUCAUUUAUUCCAAGCCUCUCUUUACCAUCCAAUUCACUAUCCUUUGCAUUUAAGCGCCAAUUCACUCCUUCAGACAAGUUAAGGUAAGCUGCUCUAGUGCAAGUCAUCGUCACCAAUACAGCUUGAAAUAGUUGUGUAUGCUAGAAACACCAUAUGUGACAAUACAUGUGAUGAACCUUAGUUCACCUAGCUAAGCAAAGCUGAAGGGGAUAGAUCUUUUAGCUUGAGGAGACUGUGGAACAAGGAUGAAGAACCUUCGCGGAUGCUAGAUUAAUUCAUCUUUAUCGCUUAGUGAAAAGAGAGACAAUCCAUCCUUAUAUAGUUGGGAUGACUUGACCCAUAAAACUCAUUUUUAAAACUAAGGAAAUGUAACAUAAACUCAAUCUAGACACUUAUGUACUGUUCAUGCUUUAUGGAUGAGAUUGCACACCUAUAAGAAUGCCUAGCUCUGGACACUAUGGGAAGCUUGAGUACCCUGCUAAUAUGUUUAUAUGGUAUUUACCAUUUUCAGCUACCGGUACCAGUUUGACACAAACUACUGGAGUUUUAUCUAUAAACACAAGGCCAGUAAGCAUGUCAAGUGGAAAGCUGGUUAUGAGUCUGACCAAAGGCUUGGAUGGGCAUCUCUUUGGGUAAGCGUUCACCUAUAUUUCAAAUUUUCAAUGUCAACAUCCGAGAUCGCAUUUUCAUCAGAAAACAACCGAGACCAUAGAUUAGCAAUAGCAUUUUUCCAGUAUGUCUAGCAUUUCCUGAACUGCAUAAGCUACAAACCUCAGUUAAAUUAGGUGCCAAAUAAUUUUUCCUUGCUAUAUUUUUGCACUGUAAGAAGUUGACGCAAAUUGCGUCCUGGCAUGCAGGUUGGAGAUGCAGGGGGCAAGACGAAGGAGGUGCCUAUGAAGGCUAAAGUUCAGUUGACGCUUAAAGUUCCACAAGACAAUGUAAAGAAUUCAGCCAUAAUGUUCAAUGUCAAGAAAAGAUGGGAUUUCUAGUUUAUAAACUGUGUGUUACAACAUGUGCACAUAACUAAAUUUAGUGCACAAAUAAAGGAAGAAUAAAGAAAAAUAUGGAUGCAUUUGCACGAGUCCAUAUGUAAUCCGUUCAGCUCAUCUCUCUUGCAGAAUGGAAUGGCAUUUUGGUGUACAAUCGAUCUAUGAAAAUAAUUUUGUCGCAAAUCUGUUUAUCAUUGUCGUUAGACCGAUGUAAAUAUUUUUGUUUACACCAGUGCAAAGUUAAUACGUGAACUGGUAAAUACUCAGAUAAACUAUGAUGAAACAGGACACCUUUUACAAGGUUACGUGAACUGGUAAAUACCCAGAUAAACUAUGAUGAAACAGGACACCUUUUACAAGGUUAACGAUACAGAUCUCAACCAUUUCACCUCAAUUUACAAUUCAUUAACAACAUUGACAUAGGCUACACUGGUUUUGCUUCCUUCUACUAACUCAUCUUUGGACAAAAAGAAAAAGAAAGAAGUAAUCAAUGGUUGCACAGCUUCCUACCCUAACAGCCUAAUCCUAUCAUCAAAGAAUCACAACCCUCGCCUCCAUCUCCAUGAACACUCAGUACUAAUUUCAGUUCAAGCAUCAUUUAGGCUAGUCUUAAUCCAAAUCUUUGGAAGUAUUGUUUGAUUGCGUCAGUACUCCUGAUACUUGAGUGCGUUCUGAACAUCUGAGAUGUUGAUGCAACAACGGCUGAUGUCUGACGAACAACUAUCAACUAGCCAUAAUGGCCAAAUGCCCAAAUGAAUCUCAUAGGCGCAGUGAUCUCAAGGAUUAAAGUUGGCAAGCAGGGUGGAUUUGAUGCACAUUUCAAAAGGGAGCUUCCAAGUCUCAACCCAUAUUGUUGCUGUUGAUCCGAAUCCUGUGCAACAAGACAUAUUGCACGUUAUUACUUUCACCCAGAAAAAAAAUAUGGUCAUAUUUCCCCCCCUAAACUUCCAAAACCAGACAAAUAAUGCCUCGAACCCUAUUUCACCACGAUUUUGGUUUAGCAUGUUUGUGGUUUUUGAAGACUUGAACUCUUAUUGGCUGAAUUUCUUUGAUGUGAACCAAACUAAGCAGCAUUCACAUCAAUAGAACAUGCAUAAUAUAAGUUUACACUAGCGAAAAUCACUAUCAUAUCAACGGAAACAGUUGUGGAAUGUGGAUCAAAGGUGUCAUUUUUCAGAUUUUAUCAGUUGACAGUCAAAAACAACCAUGUGGGUUUCAGAAGAGUUCAAGGGUCAGAAAUUGAUUUAUGAUAGGAGUUACGACACAAAGUUCUAAACUGGCUACCAUAGGAGUCUCUCAAGCAGUUAAGAACAAGACCAUACUCGAAGUCGAGCUCUUUUGCAUCUGAACAUGUAUUCAAAUAGCAGCUGAAAAGGAGUGUCAGAGGAUUUGGAUUUAUUCGGAUUCCCUAACGUAAGACAUGGAUGGUCUACUCUCAAGAUCCCAAAGUCCGCAGCUAAGGAAAGCUCCUUCUUCAUAAGAUCAAGAAAGUACGAGCGUCUUUUGAAGAUUGAAAAAAAUCCUAUGGCAGAAGAAAAUUCUAAACUAUUUUCAUGUUUUAAAAAAAAUCUAAACUGGCAGAAGAAAAUAAUUUGCUAGCAUGGAGAGUACGGAAAAUUAUGUUAAAUACCCACCCUUAAGUCACAUUAGGCCCCCCAUUUUCCCUCUUAAGAUCCACUUUUGGCAAAGUAAUCAAGAAAGGAAAAUUAGAUUUGAAAACACCUUCCUCUUGUAACUUCCUAAGAAGACAUCUAACUCUUAAACAGACUGGCUAUAAAGCAAAAUAAUAUGUUCUUUGGGAAAUAUUCCAUACUUUUUCCAAAAUAAAUUUUAACGGGCUUAUAUUUGCGUGAUGGCAACAUAAUAAGGCAUCUUAUGCUGUUAUGCUGUUUAAGCUUUAAACAUGAAGGGUAACAAGAGCUAUCUGAUUUUUUUUUUUUUUGGCAAGACUGAUACUGAAGUAGCAGAAAAUAAAAUUAAAGAGCAUAUAGUCAUAUAAUAACAUUUUUCAUUUACCAUCGGUGGAAACUCUUUUCAUCUUGGUCCAUAUGCUGUUCUCCACUGGUCAAUUCAACAUGGAAAUUGCAUGUCAAGCAUGACACCAUGCAAUGGUGGUAAUUUGCAUCGCAUCUCCAAGAGAAGACAAAAAUAUAUACAUUCAGAUUGGAGAUCGAGAGUUGCCAAGAAGCUGGCCUAGAAGAUUUUAGGUUCCUGUAAAGGCAAAGAAAAUGCAUCAUUUUUUGCAUGGCUUGACUCUGAUAAGAAAGCAUUUGAUAUGGUACCAAUGCACAUCACACAAUGUUUUAUGAUGGUUGUCAUCUCAAUUUGAGUCUAAGAGAUCUGUGACUCUGCACUCUUUUUAGCGUGCUUUUUUUGGGUAUGAUCAGGAUCAUAACUAAAUCUAAUUCUACUGAUUCCAGUAACUAAAUACAAAUAAUUGCUUGCAUAUGUCCUCUCAAUUGUAAAAAUUCACCAAUUAUUUAUUCAAAUCUAAAGCACAACUAAAAACCAUUAUUAAGAGUGAAGACGCAUGGUAUAAAGGGAAAUACAUCUAUAUAAUCAGGUUCAAUCUUAUAUUCUACAAUUUAAUCCUGUUAAAACAUCUACAAUUCAAUUCUAGAUCCUAAGCCUGAUGAUGUAUCUUCUACCAAUAACAUGAGAAGCAAGUUUCAUAAAGCAAUAUUGCGUUCAUUUCAAAAGGUUGGCAUGACAGUUUGACUUCUGCUUACAUUAAUUUGGGUUAGGAAGUGUUACAAUCAGUGAAUGAUUCUGACUAUGCUUCAGGAGUAAUUUUGAAGAAAACAAUAAACGUCAGUAACCCAAUAUCAUUACAAACCUUGCACUUCUGAUGCCAAAUACCUUUAAUAUAAUCUACACAACGUUUAAUAUAAUUUAGAUUAACAUACCUUUUGUCCAGAAAUCUGGCAAAGAUUGAUCAUUCAUGGUAUCAUCUAUUGUGAUAUCCUCAUUGAUGUUUAUAGCAUCCCUUUGUAAUCCUCUGCCAGGAUUUCUUUCAUAGGCAAUGAUUUCUUCAUAUGCCUUCUGUAAGAUGUCUUUUGCUGCUUUAUACACAGCCUUUGAUGCAGAUCCUUUGUCAGCACAUCUGAUGGCAUCAGCACACAGGACAUUGUAACGGCUUGUAAUGGAUUGACAAGUAGCAUCUUUGUGGUUAUUGCUGUUGUCUUCCAACAAUUCAUCAUGUCUGGCAUUCCUCGUCCAACGUUUCAAAAAGUAAUCAGGUGGAAGUGUGCGUGGAUCAACUAUUAUGAAUACUCCAAGAAUAUGACGGCAUAAAAUACCUGAGAACUUAAAGUACUUGCAACUACACUUUGCCAUCUUACUGGAAGCAUUAUAAGUCACACAGAAUGUGUCUGAUGGAUCAUCUUCAUCUUUUGUGAUGCUGAAUUUGUUUACUCUGCCUUCUUCAGUUUUCUGAAUGAUAUAACCCAAGGAUUCUGUGAAUUCUUCUUGAAACCUACUGAAGACUGCUUUUGUGUAAGUGCUUGCUGCCUGUUUCUCUAUUGGCGAUGCAGUCCUUGUAGUUGCCUCAUUUAACCGAGUGUCUAUAUCUGCUUGUGCUUCAUUUUCAUAUCGACUUGUCAUGGUCGAAUCAAAUUGAUUAAGGAAAACCUCCAGCGUUGUCUUUGUAUUGAAGUAUUUCUUAUAAAAGUCAUUCAUGGUCUCCAAUUUUUGUGUGGGUGAUAUUUCUGCAAAGAAUGUACCCAUCAUGUACAAAGGAACCCACUUUUGGCGUAUAUUGUAAAUUGCUUGAAGCCAUGCAUGUUUUCUCAAGUCAUAUUUCUCGAGGAUUGACAUCCAUGAUGUUUCAAAAGUAGAGAUAGUUUCAGAUUCAAUCACACAGCUUUCUAUCUCAUCCCUCAGGUCCGGAUGCUCAGAGUAUGCAUGACAUAAUUUUUGUUUGGUUCUACUCAAAAUAUACCACUUGCAGAAGCGGUGACAGGUAUCUGGAAAAACCUUUCCAAUUGCAGCCUUCAUAGCCCUAUUUUGGUCAGUGACUAACGAGCCUGGUGCCUUCCCACCCAUUGCUGCUAACCAAGUUUCAAACAGCCAAGAAAAUGAGGAUUCAGUUUCUUCCAUAAGAAACGCACAACCAAAAAUUACUGUCUGAAGAUGAUGGUUGACACCUGAGAAGGUAACAAAGGGCAUCAUAUACUUGGUCUUCUUAUAUGACGUGUCAAAUGUGACAGCAUCCCCAAAAUGCCGAUAGGCUUCUUUAGCUCUAGAAUCAGCCCAAAAAACAUUCAUCAGACAACCAUUCUUGUCGACCUGUAUGGCAUGGGAACACCUGGGGUCAUUGGCUUGCUUCUUCUUCAGAUAAUCAAGAAGACCCUGGCCGUCACCGGUCUCCCCAAGGAAAUUCUGCCUAAGAGAGGCGGUCCCGUCAGAGCCCAUCGCAGCGAUCUUGUUGGACACAUCAGGCAAUCCUCUGGCACGAAGAUACCCGUAUCUGGUGCCGAUGCCAAGGCUAUGGUUGUGAGCCUUCUCAAGCUUGGAGACAACCCAAUGGUCCUUGUCCCUGACCACCUCCAUCAUGGCAUUGCAACCUUCCCGCAUCGAUGCCCUCUCACGCUUACUGGUAGCCUCGCCGGACGUCGAUGGCUGCUUCUUCUUGUGCGCCCCUUCCCUCGAGCAAACGAACCUCUUCAUGAUUACAACCUCCUCCAUGCCCUUCGAUCGCCGGGACCGGCCGACGCGGAAGGGGAACCCGAGCCACCUGGCGUACUCAUUGUAGAACAUCUUUGCCGCCUCGUCGGACUCGAACGUCAUGCCGAGCACCGGCUCCUUGGGAUCAUUCUCAGCAUCAGCAUCACCAUCACCAUCACCAGGAGCAAAAUCUCUCAUCACAUCCUGCUCCGCCGCCGCGGCCGCCGCCGCAGCGGCGUCGUCGUCUACAUCAUCUGGAGCUCCUUCAAGAAUCAGGGCGUCAUUCUGGCAAGAGCGGGAGUUGGUGUCCAGGGACAUGAGGCAGUCGACAUAGUCGGCAAUCAGCUCAUCGCCAUCCCCCCUCUCAUCAUCCUCCAUCGUCUGUCACAGCGGUUGAAAACCUAGUCCAUUGGAGGGGGGCAAGAAAUCAAUCCAUGCUCGAUUGGGGGAUCUCCAAACAACCAAGUGUGUCUGCGGCGGAGGGAGGGAGGGAGGGAGGGAGGAAGAAUGGAGGGAUACCUUGGAUUCGAUUCGAUUCGAGCCGAGAUGGAAGGAGGCCGGGACCUGCUCGCCGGCCGAGCGCGCGGGGCAGGGGGAGGAGGAUGGGGGCGCGAGCGAGAGGAGGCCGUACACACCGCGCGCGCCGCCGGGGCUGCUCGCCGGCGGGCGAGCGCGAGGGAGAAGGCGGGGGAAGGGAGGGAGAGAGGAGGGGUGAGAGACGAGGGUUUCUUUGCGAAAGAUAAAUUCUCAAGAGAAAGUCAUUGGCCCGUUUGGUUUUGGAGUAAGAUACAAAAUUUCUGUUUUGGGUAUCACUUUUUUUUAAACUGCUAAAUCUUGUAUUUCGUAAAAAAAAAAUUCACUUCAUUCGUCUUAAAAUAUGAACAUUAAAUUUACUUCAUUCGUUUUAUAUCUAACUACUAAUUUGAACGACUGCUUAUCCAGAUUUAGAUAAAAAUUGCUAUAUUAUUUAGAUGGAGAUAGUAUAUGGUGAUAUUUUCACCUAAAUGCUUUUCAAACUUCUCUUACUAGUAAAAUGUAUGUGCAUUGCACUGAAUAAUGAUGAGGUGGAUAAAGUUUGACCUCAAUGAUUCAUUGAAGCACCUAAAUAUGAUCAUAAGUACCAAUUGCGAGGUGGAUAAAGUUUGACCUCAAUAAUUUAUCGAAGCACCUAAGUAUGAUCAUAAAUCAUAAGAACCAGCGACACGCGCAAUUAUCACAAAGAAAUAUUUGUGUUUGGACAUUUAGAUUGCUCUACACGUGUAGGAUGUGAAUGAUUCUCCUCAUGAAUGGUCCUGAUGAUUGUAGCAUUGGAGCAACACACCUUUGCACAGAAGACGAUGAUGAAAUAUUAGGAGGUCAUUAAUUAUUUUAAAUUACAUUUUUGUGUAACUCCUUAGCACACAUAUAUAAGCACUUAACUAAAUAUAUACAUAUAUUACCAAAAUAUAUAUUUACAAUUAAGUAAAUGUCUACAUAUAUAAAUAUAUACAUAUAUUACAAUUCCUUCAGACCUUAUAUCUAAUGUUUCCAUCAUAUACUACUUCGAUGUUAUCUCAGAAGAAGAAGGACCGACACUACCCGUCGUAGUAGAAUUCACCCGCAGGAUCAAUAAUUUGUUCGUUGAUAAAACCCAUCAGUUGUUCUUGGACUGCCCUUAUAAAAUCUUCAUGGAUGAGUCUGUCCCUCAUAUAAAUAAUCUAUCAUUUGAAAAAACAUGAGAUAUAAAUAUAUGAAAUACACAAGAAAUCUAGACAUAAUUCAUGUAUGAAUAAUUUUUACGUACAUUCAAUUCCUUGUUACCGUAGAUUUGGGUUGAUAGGCAGUGGGUAUACUUGCAGACGUGAUGUAGUAGCUGCAGAAGUUAUUCCCCUGGUCCUGCUUUGCACACUAAAGGAGAAACGAUGAGAGAUUUAAUAUACAUUUCUAUUUUAGAGCAAAUUAAUGAUUCAAUAUAAUUUUGGAGCAUCUACUCACUGGAAAAUCAAACCUCUGACUAAGUUUUUCUUUCUAAGACCCUGUGACCAAUUCACGGAACCAAGCCCAUACCAUACGUACAGUUGCAAGCUCUGAUUAAUUAUUAUCUAAGAUCAGCAUAGUAGCAAUAGCAAAUUUCAUAAUGACAGUGGAAUAGAUGGCAUUAUCUGUCUAUCACUUCAAAAAUCUUUGUGAACGUAGACUCCGGUUUAUCCAUUGAGUCAUAUACAUGGACUCUGCAUGUGUCAAGGCCGAAAAGAAAAAGGACCCAAUGGAAUCUGCAAAUUGCGUCAGAUGAUAUAUAUGAAACUAUAUAUAUGUAGAUGUACAAGAAGGAAAUUUGUACGAAAGGCAGUAAAAACUCACUCUGUGUUGUACGGCAGUAAUAUGAACGACUUGAAAUGCUGUUGCACUAGGAAAUGGAGAAGAUUGUCCUCUGUGUCUUUCUCAUACUUGGUGAUCAUUUCGUGUUAACUUUGUGGGGGUCGAUGAAUCCAGUAUUGUAAUUACCUUGCCUACGGCCCUUUUGAAUCUCCAUUCCACAACAGAUAAAAGGAAUUUUUAUGAGCUACAUACAAGGAGCUAAGGAACCAAAUAAAUUUAACAUAAACAAUACUUACAAAGCCCAUGCGUUGAGAAGAGAGACGUCGAGGGCGUCCCGCUGGACCUCCUUUUCACUUUCCCAGUUCUCUUUGAUGUCCCGCAACAUCUGACCAAGAUCAUUUAUAGCGUUGUUAUCUUCAACAGCCCCAUCCACAUCACCCGUUGUAUUUUCUUCAAAUCCACUGUACCGAGCCCAGUUCGGAAUGUUCUCGUCUUUUACUUCAUUUUCUUCCAUUUCAACCCCUAGCUCUCCGUGCUAGGUCCACCAAUUAUAGCUAGACAUGAACCCCGACUUAAACAAGCGGAAAUAAUAGUUUUUAAUGUAGAAUACUCCUUCUGAUUUUUGCACUUAUCACAUGGACAACAUAUAAAACCCUUAUGCUUGUUAGCAUCGGCCACACUAAAAAAAAAUGCACGCCGUCAACAAACUCUUUCGACCAUCGGUCCGCGGUGUAUAUCCAUUGCCAAUCCAUCUACAUGAAAUGCACAAAAUCAUAAAAAAAAUCCACAAAGGUCAAACCAAGUAAAUAAUCAUACAGUAAUUAUAUAUAAUUAUUCAUACAAUAAAUACACAAUAAUCCCACAUAUUGUUCAUGUUUUAAUUAUUUUUAAAGCUAUAAAUGAAUGUUUAAUGUGUUGUACGUAUUUUAAAUCUAAAUUAACUUAGUUUUCUAUCCUUUUAGAUUAAUUUUCUAUAUUUUUUAUUUCUCAUCUCUUUUAUCACUUUUUUUUAAUAAAAAUCUAAAUAAACAAAUUUCUAUAUUCUUUCUUCCCUAAACAAAUUUUCUCUCUCAUCAUCUUUCAUCAAAGUUUUUAGAGGCAAUAAUGUAUACAAAACAUAUCUCUAAAUGUAAUAUGCUAAGCAAAAAUCAUUGGAGGAUGAAGUUGCUAACCUUUUAGAUCCCUCCGAUUUGUAUAUUAUCACCAAAAUAAAUUUACAAGAAAUUUUGGCAGCACCUCCCCUCCUCCUCUUGAAAUUUUGAAGCAUGGCUCGAACUGGAGGAGGAAGAAGACCUAUAUAAAGGUUGCUAACUUUAGCUCCAGUUGGUUUUAUCAUCCGAGUGUAAAGAUCUACAUGGACUUUAGGGGGCUAAAGUUAAGAUAGAUCCCCGGCGGUCUGACAGCCUCUGACAUGAGGUGAACCGGGAUUAAAGAUCACAUAGUCCCAUUGCAGUUAUAAACCAGGACUAAAAGUGCUUUUUAGUCCCGAUUUUUUAAAGAACCGGGGCUAUUGUGGAAUUUGGCCGACUCGCUAAAGAUGGUUUCUCCAGUAGUGGUACGUAUGUGCAUCCCAUAAGGAUUAGUGACUUGGCAAGACCAUGCUGCAUUAUCAAGGGGUACCUUGUGUGAGAUGGACUUGUUGAACUUGGAAGGCUCAAUUAAUUGUACUGAUAUCUCUCCCAACUUCUAGGAUCACUAACAAAAUGCCAAUGCUUUGCUAUGGUAAAAUGCACAUACUUAUUUGAAUACAUGCUAUUCACUUGAUUCAAACAAAUAUUAGGUGUUAUAUACUAUUAUAAAAUAUCAACGACUAAUUUGUAAGACGUGCAAAUGUAGUGGUGGUGGGGGUCGGUGCAGAACCACCACCAUCACUAUUGUCUUUUAUAGUAGUAUAUAGAUAGUGAAAUGUUGGCAUCUAAAUAAGGCAUCCUGCUAUCGCAGAAACACCAAAAAUGUGUUUUCCUUAGUGCCGAUAGGGGAUUUUCCACCCCCAAAUCAGUGGUAUCUUUGUCUCUGCAGCGUGAAUUUUGACCUGCGAAUGUAAAAUGUUGGGUACUGAGCACAUAGACCCACAAAUAGUGGUGUAAAACUGCUAAAUUUAUGUAUAAAUUAUUUAAGGGUAAAUUUCAUGCAACCUCAUGUAAUAUGGUUCAAGCUGCACAAAAUGGCACAAAAUCACUAUGCAAUGAUGUUCAUAAAAGGUACAUUGUACUCUAGUACUCUACACCAGGUAAAUCAAUUAAUAUUUUUUUCUCACUUUCAUCAGUACUAUAUCUUUUAUAACCUUUUGGGAACUUGAUGGAUCGCAUUUCUGGAAAGAACAGGAUAUGAUGGUCAAAAUUUCUUGCUGGCAAAAAUAUGUAUUUUCAGCUUUUGUAGUAACUAGUACCAUCUGGAGAGGUUUACAGGGGCCAAGAUGAGCCUGAGCUCUCUGCUAGGGCUUCAGCACAGGGUCUAGACCCGAGAAAGCCCAUGAAUAUCAUCAUGGAAAAACCAAAUAUUUACAAAGAUAUAAAAGGUCUUUAGCUUGGAAUGAGAGAGCUAAGGCAAGCCCGGCCCAAGGCAGCUCAUUUUCAACAAGUACGCGUCAGAAAUCACUUUCCCCUCCCAUUUGCCUGGGAGCUCAUUCUCCACAUAAAGCACUAAAAUGAUAUUCUCAACCAUAUGCAUUGUUACUACUAAGUUAUGCAAUGAAAUGAUAUGAGAGUGAAUAAUUAUCAGAACCAAAUUAUUUGGCUUAAAAUGGCGUGUCAUCGGAAAUGGUUUGAUGCAAUGACAACACAUAUUCCACAGCUUAGGAGAAGGAGAAACAAAUGAGGAGUUGAGCAGUUCUAUCUUUUCAAGAACAUAUCACUGUUCCUUUUCAGCUUGCAUUUCAAGCCUUUCUGUACUUCCCUUAUCACCUCAAUUCUUCACACCAUACUCUGAAUUUGUGAUGGAUGAUCUGAAGAAUGGAAUCUUACCUAGAAUUAGAUCAAAGAACUGAAAGAAUCACCUACCGAAGAUCGCGAGAUGUUGAGAGCUAGAAAGAGGGAUACAGCCUAGCAUGGGGGAUGAGAAUCACUCUCUUAGCCAGGAAGGCUCACCAUCUUCCAUAUUUCAUCCACCAUCUGAGAACCCCAAGUGUGUUCCAGUGAUGAACCAAAUAGUGGAGAUAGGCAAGCCAUUCUUGGCUAACAGAGGCAAUCUCCUCAUCUCCAUGUAAGGCUACCCUCCUCACAAGUUUACUCUGCUUAAUUAACUGCCCUUAAUUGCUUGCCAUUUCAGCUAGUGUGCACCAAGUAUUUAUAGUGUGGACAAGAGGGUGGGGAUAGGGAUCAGAUAAUGAUGCCUUGAUCUCUUUCUGAAUGCUUUGCAAGUUGCAUGCCACAGUUGGGUUUUGACCCUUCUCCAUAGAUAUGUAGAAUAUAUUCAGUUGGCAUGCAGUCUUUUCAACAAAAUCCUAGCUUAGCCAGAUCAGAUAUCAAAGGAUAGAUUAGAAUGUUUGAAAUUGUGGAUAGCUUUUUUCUAGUUUGCAAAUUUAUCAAUAAGGCUGAUUGUUCCUAGGGAAUUUAGAUUUGCCGACGCCUUUAUGUGGCAGGACUAAGGAUUCAGUGGCAGCAUGGUUAUUACCUUCAAAACAAAAACACAGUGUUGCUUGCAGCAUAACAUAGAUGAAUGCUACACCUUCUUUCCAAUUUGUCUUAUUUUAUAACGACAUGUUUACAAUUAUAUCUUCAAAAAAGAUAUAGGAGUACUAUUUGUUUAGAUAAUGGAGAAAUUUAUUAAAGCACAAAAUAUAGGGGGUACUAUAAUUAUACCUAAUAUGUGACCUCUGUCCCUGGUUAUACUAAUGGUUUAGUGUCAUGUCUCUCAGAGGUUUCAUAUUUUCAGAAUUCAAUAAUAUCAGUCACAAAAAGGAAUCCAAUAAUUUUGUGACUUAGAUUAAAAGAAAAAUAGUUUACCAAACACCAAAGUGCCUAAAAGCAUCACCAAACUAGGUUAUCAUAACCUAUCAAAAUGCUAAACCGAGCCUUAGUAUAAUUUAACUUAUAUAUGAAGUUAUGAACAUUCAAUUUUGUAAGAUCAAAAUGUGUUUUUAUUCUUAUUCUGUGAUGAACAAUUGGCAUAUGUAAUUAUUGGUUUUGAUAUUUGGAGAUUAUCAUCGAAGUGGUUUUGUAAAUAAUCAAUUUUCAGGUGAUGAUCGGAUUCACUGUUAUUUUAUGUGACCGGUCCGACCGGGCGGAGGUUGCCGGUCAGACCGGCGCUAUGCGUGCAGUCAGACCGGCCAGGCUCGCAGUCUGACUGGCCGACGCUGUGUCGGUUUCGGUUUCGGGUUGUUUCUUUAGAUAUCCGUGAUUGUUUCAUGGUUAUGGCUUCUAGAUGGAUACUAUACGUAUGUAAUACUAUUGUUUGCUACUAAUGAGUCAAGUUGGAGAUAGCUUGGUCUCGGAAUAUGGUUUCUUUGUUUAUUUCAUGUGUAGGUGACUCGAUGCCUCGGGAGAGUAUUUGCGGUGAUGGACCAGGAGUCGGCUUGGUGGUAAGACGAUGUCCGUGGUGGUCAGAUAUCAUGCAGAAUACUAAGGCUAGAGUUGAUGCACGUGAUUGGUGAAGAUUCCAUAUGGCAUACGAUGGAGGUAUUGUGUGCGUAUGGGAUGCGGAGUCGAAUUUGGAAGGAGUCCAAAUUUGGUACGAUUGGUUAUGUAAAGUUUGUGUCUUGUACUAGAGGGUUUCCUAAGGUGUUUAGGACUCUUAGUAUGAGUUUGGUUCGUGGCUUUAGGCUGCCUACCUCAUGUAUAAAUAGAGGGGGAGCGUGAGGCUUCCUGGUAUCGCUUUUCAGAGCGUGGAGUUGAUAGUUUAGUUAGGGUUUCGAGUUUAGUCGAGAUUUUUGUAUGGAGUGUUGUUGUUGCACUUUGUAAACAUAGAGAGAAGCAAUAAAGUUGUCAUCUAUUUUGAGCGUUCUUCGUUUUGUGUUUCUUCGGGUUCAGGCGGCAGCAAGGUGGUUCAACCGGCGGCGUGUGAGCGGUCCGACCGGCGGCGACAGGACUACAUCGAGAUUUCCAUCGAUUUGAGGGUAACUUUUAUUUUCGCUAAAAGUUUUUGGGUUUUUGGUUUUCCCUACCAUUCACCCCCCUCUGGUAGUGUCACGCCCAGAAAUUCCCGAAUAGAAUUCCAAGCAGAAUGUGCAUUAAAAUCCCCGUCCAGGACCGGCCGGGGUACACAAACGACAAUGUUGACAUUCAGACCCACGUCUUACAAACAUCAUAAAAGUCUUACAUAAAUGCAGCGGAAAAGCGAAAGACAACAGGAGCUAAGCCUUGACUAGAACUGCAGCGGGAACACCACUCCACAGGCAUCCUCGACGGCACGGACGAAGCCUACUCCUCGGAGAAACCUCCAUCUGACACAUACUCGUACUCUGGGGUUGGGAAAAAUAGAGCAAGACUGAGUACUACCCACUGUACUCAGCAAGUCAUACCGGAAUAGGGGUAUGAUGCAGGGAAUUAUCAAAGGAGAGCUAGAGUGGUUCAUUUGCAUAAAGCGAGCAUUUAUAAACAGAAGUUGAAAGAUUUAAACAGUUGUAAUAAUUAAUUAAUAUUAACUAUCCACUGUCCAACGCUAUCCCACGUUGCAACAGGCCCAACCAUCCACCUAAACUAUCCAAAUUCAAAAGAUUACACUAGGGUGAGACUAAUCACGGUGAAUCUGGUUGACCGCCCAUAACCGCGGGCUCGGCUAUUCGAAUAGUUUUACUCUGAUCAGAGGUGUACAACUGUACCCACAAGACACAACCCCACGACACGUUUCCGUGCGCCGACAUGCCACCACGACAUACUGGAAAGAGGCCGUGACAGGACCCUUCGCAUAACCCCCUCUAGCCAAGCACACCACACCUCAGGUUUCACCCCAGUCCCCAACGGGCAACGGGCAGUCCCCUCUCGUGCCUAGGUGAAUCCGGAAGCGACAGAGGCCGUCACAGGGCCCGCCCCGCUCCAUCACGCCCACCCUUGCCUGGAUGCGUCAGCUAGAGGAAAGCUACACUACAAGCCCAGCCGUUGCCCACGCUGGCUUGUGGUAAGUACGAUAAGUUCUUCCAGGGCAUCCCACGAACCGGUCCUUAACUACCAUGGGUGCGACCAGCAAAACCAUGCACCCACAGCCCACCAUGUGAUUUAUUUUAAUUAACCAACACCAAAGCGGUGGCACUAAUCCAACAAUACCAUUAGAACCAACAGUCUAAACAUUAAUAGGAUUUUCCCCAUUGUGCACUAGUUGAACUAAGCAUGGCUAAGCAAUCCCUAGUCCAAUCUCUAGUCAUGUCAUAACCCCAAGCUGACAAAGGGACAUGGUACAACAAUAGCAUGGCUAUGACAAUAGGUAAACAUCCCAUAAUAACAUUAUAAACGAUGCAGUAUUUGAAGAAAAACAAUAGAGCAUUUGCAAUAUAGGAUCAACAUGUUCAAGUGGCAAGCAUGACUUGCCUUGCUCUGCUGCUGGAGGAACCUCGGCGACUAUUUCGAAGUACACCGGAGCGUCGGAAGAACCGGAAUCUAGCGACAUACAAGGCAAACAUUGCAAACAGGCUAUAAGACUACUGAAGCAGAGAACAAAACCAUUUUUAAUGGAUUCUACACAUUUUUCUUGAUUUACUGAGACUUGAAUGGGCUUAAACGGAGCACGGAUGAAUUAGUUAUGAAUUUUAGAAGAUUCACUGUGUUUAUUACUAUAACAAAAAGUCCUUAAAUCAUUUAUUGCGCAAUAAUUCCCAGGGCUGACGUCAUCAAGGGGGCGCGGCGCCGACAUACGGGGCCCACCGGUCAGCGGCUCGGGAGAGAGGGAAAAGGGGCGCCGGCAAGCGGGCCCCACUCGGCAGCGGCUCAAAGGGGGGGGGGGGGUAGUCCACCGUGGACCGGGACCACGCGGGUGGUCCACCGCCGGUCCACGGGACCGACGGCCCAGAUCGCCCCCGGGGUUGAUCGGACGGGCGGCGGCGACCCGGCUCGGCUCGGCUCAAGGCCGGCCGACCGGCCACGGUGAUGGCGACGGUGCGCUCGCGCGAACGCAUUGCCAGCGACGGCAACCGGCGGCGGAGGCGACGGCGCAAAGGCGACGCGAAGGCGGCGGCGCUAAGCGGUGGCUAGGAAGGAGAGGGAGGGGAAUAGAGGGGAGAGGAAGCCUCACCGAGGGUGGCCGGCGCGGAGGAAGACGACGGCGAACGGCGACGGCAAGCCACCGGAGGACGACGGCAACCGGCGGACGAGCUUCGGGGUGCCCUAAGGAAGGAGGAGAGAGAGAUUAGAUAGAGGGAGAUGAACCACGGCGGCCGGCAUCCAUGGCCGAAGGCGGCGGUAGAGGUAGAACUCACCGGAGCGCGAGGGGAUGCGAAUUCCGGCGACGAAUCCCGGCGGAGGAAGGGCGGACGGGGUGGAGUUCGUCCUUGCGAACCCGACGGCGGCGACGGCGCGGUGCGGCAGCGAGCCUAGCGGUGGCUAGCGGCGGCCGGAGCGGCGGGAAAGGUGGCGACGGGUGGGUGCAUGGCGCGGGAGCGAUGGGGAGCACGAGGGAGUUCGGCGAAAUGGGGAAAAGGAGAGAGGGAACGACGGCGCAACUUAAAUAGGGAGAGAGGGGGCCGGACGUGGCCGGGUGAGGCGGGAAUUGCCGGCCAACGUGGGGGAGUGGGGGAGGAGAGAGAGGCGGGAUUCGAAAAUCGAAUCCCGGCCAUCUCGGGCGCGGGCGCGGGCGGGAGAGAGAGGGGAGUGGGCGCAGGAGGUGCGGCGUAUGCGCGGGUGUGGCCGACGUGGCCCGGAGGAGGCGGAGGCGUGGGCGCGGUGGCGGUUGCUGGCGCGGCGGUGCGGGCGCGAGGUAGGAGACGGGCCCGACAGAUGGGGCCCACCUGUCGGCGACCCGGGUGAGAGGAGGCGGGCGGCCGGCCCGCGCGGCCUAGCUGGGCCUUGGCCUUCGGCCGGCCCAGCGGGAGGAGAGGAGGAAGGAGAAUGGGCCGGCGGCCCACUCGAAAAGAAAAGGGGGAAAAAGAAAAAGAAAGAGGAAGAAAAGGAUUUUCCCUGGAAUUAAAAUAUUGCUUGCUCAAUUUUAAUUGGUUAAAAUUAUUUCUAGGGCUCUGAAAAUUCCACUAAAAAUCCUGUUAGUGACUUUCGACAUGUAGAACUCAAGAAAAAUUCCACAUGCCAGAUUCGAUUAUUAUUUGUAUUACUUUCUUAGGGUUUUCUCUUGAUUUGCACCGGUAUUUUCUUAGGGUCAUUUAUAAAUUAAAUUUCAGGCUUGGGAGGAGAACUACAGGGUGUGACAGGUAGGCUUGGUUUCUUGUGUUCGAUCCUACAAGUGGUAUCAGAGCCUUGUUUUCUUCUUUGGAUUUUUAUCGAUCUAGAGUUUUUGCCAUGGCUGCUCCUGUUAGGUUUUCAACUAAGCCUCAUGUUUUUUACGGAACGGAUUUUUCUUUUUGGUGUAGUAGGAUGCAAUCUUACAUUAUGGCUGAGAAUUAUGAUAUUUGGAGAAAAGUUUCUCAUCCUUAUGUGAUUCCUGAAGUUAUUAGUACUGAUGCUGCAAAAACUGAGUUUGAACAAAAUUGCAAAGCUCGCAAUAUUCUUUUGAGUGGGAUUUCUCGUUCUGAUUAUGAUCGUGUUGCUCAUCUUCAAACUGCCCAUGAGAUUUGGAUUGCUUUGAGUAAUUUUCAUCAGGGAACAAAUAACAUUAAAGAACUUCGUCGUGAUCUUUUUAAAAAGGAGUAUAUUAAAUUUGAGAUGAAACCUGGAGGAGCUUUGGAUGAUUAUCUUUCUUGGUUUAAUAAAAUUUUGAGUGAUCUUAGAUCUGUUGAUUCUUCUUAUGAUGCAAAUUAUCCACAAUCUGAGAUUUCUCACCACUUUUUGAAUGGUAUUGACAUGUCUAUUUGGGAGGUGAAAGUUACAUCUAUUCAGGAGUCUGUUAACAUGUCUACUUUGACUUUGGAUUCGCUUUACACAAAAUUGAAAACUCAUGAGAUGAAUAUUCUUGCUCGUAAAGUCGAUUCUAAGUCUAGUGCUUUGGUUUCGUCUUCGACUUCUUUGGAUGUUGGUGCUUCUUCAUCGAAGUCUUCUGUUAUUGCUUUAUUUAAUGUCAUGUCCAAUGAUCAACUUGAACAGUUCGAGGAGGAGGACUUGGUUUUGUUAUCUAAUAAAUUUUCUCGAGCUAUGAAAAAUGUUAGGAACAGGAAAAGAGGAGAACCGAAUCGUUGUUUUGAGUGUGGAGCACUUGAUCAUCUUCGCUCGCGUUGUCCUAAGCUUGGGAGAGGAAAGAAGGAAGAUGAUGGUAGAAUCAAAGAUGAUGAUGUGAACAAGAAGAAGAACAUGAAAGAGAAGGAGAAGAAGAAGCAUUGUAUGCAGUGGUUAAUCCAAGAACUCAUAAAAGUUUUUGAUGAAUCGGAAGAUGAAGAUGAGAGCAAAGGUAAGCAAGUUGUUAAUCUAGAUUUUAUUGCUCGUAAUGCAAGUUCUGAUGUUGACGAAUCUGAUGAUGAUAAUGAAGAAAAGCUUAGUUAUGAUCAACUAGAAUAUGCUGCUUACAAAUUUGCUAAGAAACUUCAAACAUGUUCUAUUGUGCUUGAUGAGAAGGAUCACACUAUUGAUAUUCUAAAUGCUGAAAUUGCUAGAUUAAAAUCUUUGAUUCCUAAUGAUGAUAAUUGUCAAUCCUGUGAAGUUUUAUUUUCUGAAAUUAAUGCUUUGCGAGAUGUCAAUUCUGUUAAUUGCAAGAAAUUGGAAUUUGAGAUUGAAAAAUCUAAAAAGUUGAAAUCUUCUUUUGCUCUUGGAUUUGCUUUACAUGCUCGUGUUGUUGAUGAGUUGAUUUUGACAAAGAACGUUUUGAAAAAAAAUACAAAGUUUCUUUUUGUGCAAGUUCUUUGGUCAAUGCUUCAUGUGCAAAUAAGGCAACACAAAACAAUGGUGUUUUGAUUUCUCAAGAUUGUUCAAAGUGUAUUUUGAAUGAGUUGAAGUUGAAAGAUGCGUUAGGGCGUGUUAAACACAUGGAAGAGAUUGUUAAAAAAGAUGAGGUGUUUUCUUGCUCAACUUGUAGAAAACAAAAAUGUCUUUUGGAUGCGUGCAAAAAUUGUGCUAUUCUUACUCAGGAGGUUUCUUAUUUGAAAAGUUCCUUGCAAAGAUUUUCUGAUGGUAAAAAAAAAACCUCAACAUGAUUCUUGAUCAAUCUAAGGUUAGCACACACAAUCGUGGUUUAGGUUUUGAUUCUUAUGCUCAUCAUACUAGUCAUCCUCCUACUGUUUUGGGUGUUGCUAGGAGAGGUGAAAUUUUGAUUGAAACUGAGCCUAAGAACACUGUGUUUAAAUCUGCUGGCAUCAUGUCUUCUUUGAAUGCAUCUUCUUCAAAAUUUAAUGUUGUGCAUGCAAAACCUCCUGUUGAUGCAAAACCAUUGAUUUCAAAGCCAUCUAUCUCACAAACUUGUCGUGAGAAGUACACUUAUUCUUUUUUGGAAAAGAUGGACAUUUGGUUGGUUUUUGAUUUCGACUCGCUCGUAAACAGAAAAAGGAAAGAGAAAUUGCUUUUGCGAAACGACGGUGGCAAAAAUUGGGUUUUUGUUCGAGGAGCAUGGUUAGACCGCAGUUGAACCGGCAGUCAGAUCGGCAGCCAGGCCCAGUCAGACCGCAGGGACAACGAUGGUCAGACCGGCCUCGAGGUGAUUUUGCACAUACUUCAAAUCGGACCUUUGUGAAGCGACAAGGUAAGUUUUCAGGUAAGAAAGGUUCUGAUUUUGUUAGUGCAUAUGUACCUACUGGUUCUACUGGUCGUGUGACUCAGUGUUGGAUUUCAAAAUUUCUUAUUUCUAACCCCAACACGGAGGCCUCGACAUCUUCUCGUUCGUAGGUAUUUUUGUGGCAUACUCCCCAUGUGCAUUCAACGUUGAGAUGACGAUUGCUUUUUAAGGUAACAUCAAUUUAUUUUUGGAUUGACAUACAUGUGGUUGUAGGAUCGAGAUGUCGACUAGAGGGGGGGUGAAUAGGCUAUUUAAAACUAAAUAACACCUAAUCAAAACUAACCUAAGUUGCUAGGCUUGGUGAGGGUGAACUCUAACUAAGCAACUAAGUUAUGUUUUGCAAACCUAGGGUGAUAGUGGCUCAAUUAUAUCUCUAGGAAAGUAAAUCACACUCCUAUGUCAAAGUUUUGCAAUCCUAGGGUGAAAUGAUCUCAAGUAUGUCUCUAGAAAUGUAAAUUGCACAAAUGUAAAUGCGACAAUCAAAUGAGACAAGAAGACAAGAGAUUUUUCACCGAGGUUCGGAAACUCGCCGGUUUCCUAGUCCCCGUUGAGGCGAGCCCAACUCCACCGCUCAACCACGAAGCCACCGCACGCCCCCUUCGUCAAGGGGUGGGCAAGGCGGGAGCCGGCCCACGGAGAGGACUACCCAAGCCUCGAUCACUAGGGUAGUUCUUCCUUCACUCCGAAGGUUAUGAACUCCAAACCACUCACAAACCGGCGCCGGGCCUCCUCCAUGUCACGCCCAGAAAUUCCCGAAUAGAAUUCCAAGCAGAAUGUGCAUUAAAAUCCCCGUCCAGGACCAGCCGGGGUACACAAACGACAAUGUUGACAUACAGAUCCACGUCUUACAAACAUUGUAAAAUCUUACAUAAAUGCAGCGGAAAACAAAGAUAACUGGAGCUAAGCCUUGUCUAAACAGCAGCGGGAACACCACUCCACAGGCAUCCUCGACGGCACGGACGAAGCCUACUCCUCGGAGAACCCGCCAUCUGACACAUACCCGUCCUCUGGGGUUGGGAAAAGUAGAGCAAGACUGAGUACUACCCACUGUACUCAGCAAGUCAUACCGGAAUAGGGGUAUGAUGCAGGGAAUUAACAAAGAAGAGCUAGAGUGGUUCAUUUGCAUAAAUACUGGCAUUUAUAAACAGGAAUUUAGUGCGAAAACAGUUGUAAUAAUUAAGCAGUAUUAAACAUCCGCUGUCCAACGCUAACCCACGUUGCGACAGGCCCAACCAUCCACCUAAACUAUCCAAGUUCAACAGAUUACACUAGGGUGAGACUAAUCACGGUGAAUCUGGUUGACCGCCCAUAACCGCGGGCACGGCUAUUCGAAUAGUUUUACUCUGAUCAGAGGUGUACAACUGUACCCACAAGACACAGCCCCACGACACGUUUCCGUGCGCCGACAUGCCACCACGGCAUACCGGAAAGAGGCCGUGACAGGACCCUUCGCAUAACCCCCUCUAGCCAAGCACACCACACCUCAGGUUUCACCCCCGUCCCCAGCGGGCAACGGGCAGUCCCCUCUCGUGCCUAGGUGAAUCCGGAAGCGACAGAGGCCGUCGCAGGGCCCGCCCCGCUCCAUCACGCCCACCCUUGCCUGGAUGCGUCGACUAGAGGAAAGCUACACUACAAGCCCAGCCGUUGCCCACGCUGGCUUGUGGUAAGUACGAUAAAUUCUUCCAGGGCAUCCCGCGAACCGGUCCUUAACUGCCAUGGGUGCGACCAGCAAAACCAUGCACCCACAGCCCACCAUGUGAUUCAUUUUAAUUAACCAACACCAGAGCGGUGGUACUAAUCCAACAUUAUCAUAUAAACCUAUAGUCUAGGUUUUAAAUGAGAUCUCCCCAUUGUGUGCUAGUUGAACUAAGCAUGGCUAAGCAAACCCUAGUCCUAACUCUAAUCAUGUUAUGACCCAAGCUAACAAAGGAGCAUGGGAUCCAAAAGCAUGGCUGUAACAAUAGGUAACCAUCCCAAAAUGAUAUUAUAAAACAAUGCAGUAUUUGAAAGGAAACAAUAGAGCAUUUGCAAUAUAGGAUCAAUAUGUUCAAGUGACAAGCAUGACUUGCCUUGCUCUGCUGCUGGAGGGACCUCGGCGACUAUCUCGAAGUACACCGGAGCGUCGGAGGGAUCGGAAUCUAACGACAUACAAAGCAAACAUUGCAAACAGGCUAUAAGACUACUGAAACAGAGAACAAAACCAUUUUUAAUGGAUUCUACACAUUUUUCUUGAUUUACUGAGACUUGAAUGGGAUUAAACGGAGCUCGGAUGAAUUAGUUAU